CCCAAUUUAUAUUUGUUUAUUUUUCCCAUUUGUUGGAGUUCUAUAUCUUCCUCCAAAAAUAUAUGUAUACAUCCAUAACAUUUCUUCUUUUUAAGCAUCACUUUUCACUAUUUCACUUAGCUCAGUUGCAAGAAGUGAAACAUGAUUUGAUAGCAUUUAUAUAGUGAUAACAUCUUGCAAACGCUUUAGAUACAGACAGGACAAAUGUGUUUUUCUCCUUUUUUCAGGAGAUGGCAGUCAGAUAAGCAACAUCUGUGCCUAAAAAGUGCCUAAUAAAGGAGUUAAAACUAUGGAGUACCGUAUUGCUAGAAAGGAUUGGAGGAGUGGAAAAGCGCCUGGGAACUUCGUCUUCCUGAUGACUCGUAGGAGGAAGGUGGUGCCCUUCCCAGGAUGGAAGCAGCAGCUGGCAGAUCUGUCCCAGCUUCAGCAGCUUGGAAGACUGCCUCUCUGCCGCCGUCAAAAAGGGCUUUUCUUGGAUCAAACAGGAACUUUGCGAUGUCCCUGGGAUCGACAGGAUGUGCCCUCCUCUACAGGACUGUUUAGGUCUGGUGGGACUGUCCUGCAACGGAGAUAUCAGCGGCGAUCUUGGAGCUUCAAGAUCACACGCUGUACUGCUGAGACGCCAGCUCUGCCCCCCCACAGUUGCUGUGGUUAUGAAGGUGUAGGAAAAACAAAUGGACCAAUUUGGGUUCUGCCAACCAGUGCACAUAUAUGAUUCCCAAUGUGUAUUCAAUACUCAUGAUCCCCAUUUAUGACCUCAGUUAGCUUCUGACCAGCAAAUCAAUGGAGAUACCAGCAGGAAUUUGCAAGUCACAGUCAUGUGAAAUUCCCUUUAACAACCCACAGUGAUGUGCUUAACAACUGCCGAGGAUCAGGUGUAAGUUGGCACUCUCAUGUGACAUCAUGCUCAUGAUCAGGCUGCUUAGUGAUACAGAUGCCAAUCUAAAUUGCGGUCAGUAAGUGAGGACUGCUUGAAUUGGGAUAUCACCAGAGUGGUUGUGGACAGUAUUUUCUGCCCAUAUUUGGAGCUGAGGACUCCCAUGAGCAAAACAAGUUAGAUGUUUGGUGUCAGGAAUCCACGUAAUGCAGCCAUCUGAAAACAGAACUCUGAGGUAGGUUGAUUCCUCAAAGAACAAUUUUAUUUGGAGAUAUCAUCUUGGCACAAACUAGUGGAAAGCCAAUUCUGAAUAAUCCCGUACUUUCCACUCCUUAAAAGAGAAAGCUUCCUGCUUUCUCAAAACAAUAAAUUACAUUGUCCAAUCUGGGUACUAGUUGGUUGCCUGGUUACCUCUCUCCUCCCCCUUUGGCCAGCCAGCUGUGGGAACAUCUCUGACUCAGCAGAGAGCUAUUGUGUUUUUGUCUACAAAAUCUCCUCUUUCACUCCCUCCCUUCAGCUCCAAGCUGUCUCACCUGAAGCCAUGAGAAAAGAACCAAACCGGCCACAGUCAGAUCAGCUUUAAGCUUGACAUUUGGAUGUGCACUGUAAGAAUUUGUGAUUGACCCAAAUCAGCAAGAAAAUUUCAUGAUUGAGUGGAUAUUUGAACUUGGAUCUUAAUAGCCUUUCAUAUGUCAAAUCAAUCAUGAUUCAUGUGAGAGGUUAUUCUAGCAUUGUGGCAUGUUUGCUUUGUCAUUGGAACAUAUACUUUUUUUAUAUAUCUACAAUAAUUUUAUAAACAAUUAACAUGACACUUUUCUUUGAAUCUUACAGGCAAAGAAGAUGGCAAUAAGAGCACACUAGACAACUGAUAAUAACAAGCAACUUUGAUGAGGAAACAAAAUCAAGCCAGAAAUCAAAAUGUUUUCCAUUUCCUUCAGAAAACCAUAUAAUUUUUCCUCUUCCCAAUCAUAAGGGGUGAGAGAAAGGAGAGGAAAUUGAGAAAAGAUUUUGAGCUGGAGAAAGUAGAGUAUGCAAAACUCAAAGAUAUAUUAAGUGAAAAGUCAAGGGAGAUUAUUUUUCAGAAAAAGAGUGAAAUAUCUGGAAGUCAGUGGGGAGGAAAAGGUCACUUGGAGGGCAGGCAGACAUGCAAGCUUCACUCUGGCAGAAAAAAAUGGACUUUAAUCAAAAUUGCACUAAAAAGGGAAUCGCACAUAUUUUUGCUCUCAAUAAUAUCAGUGUUGGAAAAGCUCCAUAGAUACCCCUAUUGUAGGAAAAGCACAGAUUGCAAACCACUGAUUAUGCAUGAGAAGAUCCACACAGAAUAAAAUCCAUAAAAGUGUUCCCAAUGUAGAAAAUACUUUAGUGAGCAUGGCAGCAUGGUGAUACAUCAGAAGACUCACAUCAUGUAUGAGUGUCCAGAUUGUGUGAAAGUUUCAUUGGAAAUUUCCAUCUCAUGAGACAACAGAGGAGAAAAAAAACAGGAGAAAAAAACCCAAUUUGAAGUAGAUAAACCCUUUGAAUGCCCUAUCUGUGGGAAAAGUUUCAGUCACAAUUACAGCGUGAUAAACCACUAGAGGAUACACACAGGAAAGAAACCCUUUGAAUGUCUUGAGUGUGGAAAAGGUUUCAUUACAAAUUCUCACCUCUCACCAGAGGAAUGACACAGGAGAUAAACCAUUUGAAUGUCCUGAUUGUGGAAAAAGUUUCAGUCCAAAUUCCAACCUGGUGAUACACCUGAGGACUCACACAGGAGAGAAACCCUUUGAAUGCCCUGAUCGUGGGAAAACUUUCAUUAGAAAUUCCCACCUGAUUAGCCACCAGAGGAUUCACACGGAAGGCAUACUCUUUCAAUGUCCUGAUUGUGGGAAAAGUUUCAGUCAUAAUUCCAACCUCAUGAUGCACCAGAGGAUUCAUACAGGAGAGAAACCAUAUGAGUAUCCAGACUGUGGAAAAUAUUUCAGUACUAUAGCUAGCCUUCUAAAUCAUGUGCUUACAUGCACAGGAGAAAUCAUUUAAGUGCCCCCAGUGUGAACAGUGCUCUAGGCAGCCUUUCAACCUUACUGCACACAGGAAAAUCCACAUGAGGCCCAAAGUGAUGAAUGUAGAAAAGUCUUGAAUUCCAUUUUAAAUAUUCCAUUGUAAGUUCAGCUCAGAAAUUGACUCUUUGAGUGCAAACAAUUUGCCUGAUUUUUUGUCAUCAAAUAUGUCAUAGUAUUAGAUGGGAAGGAGGAAAGGAAAAAAAUGGAACACAUUCAUUUGAUAAUGUUGUCUGGCCAUCACCAGCAGAAGUUGCUGGAUAUUUAUUUUUGCAGGAAUUGUACAAUUCUGCAAAAAUCUUUUUAGGAAGUGUUCUUUGCCGUUUUAUCAUAAUAAUAGAAAUAUCACAUGUUGAGUCCCAGCCUUCUUGUCCCUGGGUUUCCUCAAGAUUUUCAGCCCUAGAAUUCCCCAGAUCCUGACAUCUCUUCAAGAUAAGAGCACUCAGGCUAUAUUUCAGUGGUGGGAUUAAAAAAAAAAUACUAUCGGUUCUGUGGGCGUGGCUUGGUGAGCAAGGCAUUGCUUGAUGGGUGUGGCUUGGUAGGCAUGGCAGGAAAAGGAUACUGUAAAAUCUCCAUUCCCUCCCCACCCCACUAACCUGCUUUCCAGCUCUGUUCUCCUGUGCAGGACAACANAGGAAAAGGAUACUGUAAAAUCUCCAUUCCCUCCCCACCCCACUAACCUGCUUUCCAGCUCUGUUCUCCUGUGCAGGACAACAAAAGACCCAGCCAAUCAGCUGGGACUCGGAAGGCAGAGAAUACACGGGGGGGCAGUCAGAGGUGGUAUUUGCUGGUUUUCCAAACUACUCAAAAUUACUGGUUCUCCAGAACUGGUCUGAACCUGCUGAAUACCCACCUCUGCUAUAGUUAGAGAUUAUGGCUCCCCAUAUAAGGAGCAAGCGAAAGGAGAGUAGAAGUGGAAUGAGUCCAAUAUUCAUCUUUUCCUAACAAUUCCAGAAAUUCAUUGCACCCAGCUCGUCUGCUCAGAUUGUUUCAAGAAAGAGACAUGAACGUGGAAGAAACCACAUGAAUAGCAAAUAUAUUGGAGGAGUUUGGGGCAGUGACAAAAGCAGUUUAAAAUUUCAGAUGUAAAGGCUGUUAUACCCUACAGAUGACUUUCAUAGAGAAGAGCUGUAAGAAUAUUGAGCAGAAAAGAAAUUGUUUGUCAGGUCCCCAUAGAUCCCUAUUGUUCUGUAUGCAAAUAACCGGUUUCAAAUAACACAUUCUGAUUGGAUACUGAGAA
ensembl:lncRNA